rnacentral:lncRNA from 1 species
GAACGAUGUAUGGGCAUUUUAAAAAGAGACUCCUUGCUUGAGGAGUUCAGCUCCGUCCCAGCGCACAGCCACUCAGUUACCCCAAAAAAGUUUGUAUGCCAGCACGAACCCAACGCAAGCAGGCUUUCUGUACUAAGCAGUAAGCGAGAGGCAAUGGGAGCCACGGAGCCCACAGGGACACAGGUCUUCAUCUGAAAAGCUUAGAUUCUAUCUUUAGGAACAGAGCUGGAACCAGAACUCAAGUUGGAAGGCAGCAUACUGGAGAGGAAAGGGCAUAGGCUGGGGGUUAAAUACCCUUUGACCGAAAUCUUGGUUCCGUGGCUAACGGAGAUGUUGCUGUAACAUGUGGGAACCUCAGCCGCAUCCAUGAAAUGAGUAGGCUACUUCCCUAUAGAAUUGUCACAAGCAUGAAACAGACAAUGAAUGCCAAGCACCUCACACUAUGGCUGGCAAACAGUAAAGGGAGUCGACGUUAGUUCUCUUUUGUUCCCCUUGCCCUAAGUCAUCAUUCCAAGAGAAAAGGCCCCACUUCAGCCCCUCCUUCCCCUGCCUCCUAAGCAGAGACUGCUUAUCGGGGGGUGGGAGUCUCAAAACUCACUGCCUGUCAUUGGUAACACAGGGGCAUUAAAAUGUGUGAUUUGUUGAGCUUGGUGGCCAUAUUCAGGGGCAUUAUCAGUGAGUAGCCUGUGGCCCAAGCACCAAAAUUUCCCAAGAGCUCCAAGGGGAGCACUCUGGGUUGUUUUCAAAACUUUCCUUUUUGAAAGUGUUAACUAUGAAGCAGGUAUGUUCUGCCUCAACUUAAUUCACUGGCUUUGCAUGAUGAUAAUGGAAAUUAAAAAAUCAUGGUGGUGUAGAGAAUUUCAACAACAUUUAUUAAGAACUUUUUGAUUUGCACAAUACAAGUUGUCCACUGUUUAACAAUUAUAACAGCAACUACUAUUUAUUGAACACUUUCUAUGGGCUAGGUGCUGUUUUAAGCUUUUUAAAAAAUAUCUGUAUUGACUCAUUCAAUCCUAAAAUAGGUACAAUUAUUACACCCAUUUUAUAGAAACUGAGGCUGAAGGCAUUAGGGAAUUUACCUGAGAUCACUCAUCUAUUAAAAAUCCUGUUUUGGAUUCAGAAAUCAACAAUGUGGUCCCUAACCCAAGCUGCACAGUCCAGUGGGAGAGAAAGAUAAGAAGUCAACAAACAAUUAUAGUUCUGUGUGACAGUCACAAAGGUGGAGGCAAGUUCAGAGUGCUGCCAAAACAAACAUAGGGCACGUAACCCAGCCACACAGAGGUGAGAGGGUCCGGGAAGCUUCCUAGUGGGGAUGAUGUCUCAAAACGCAAACAUCAUUUAGCUCUAAACCAUGCUAGGAGAGACGGUGGCAGCACCAGAAGGCAGCAGAGCACAGUAAGCUCUAGAAUAAAGUGACCUGGUUUGGAACCCCACCUCUGCUUUCACGGAUAACAACAUAAUCACUUUAACUUCAUUUCCUCAUCUACAAAAUGAGGAUGAUAAUUAUUCUUGGAUUUUAAGAUUGUUGUAAAGGCAAAAUACUUCUAAAGUACUUACCAUAAUAUCUGUCAUAUAAUAAAUGCUUAUAGAUGAGCCAUUAGUUAAAAAAAGAUAAAUGCUUAAUAAACAGUUAAUAUAUAAUAAGCAUAAGCAUUUUCUUCAUAUGUACAAUGAAGUAAUAUAUAAUGAUGAGACAAUAAUAUUCAAUAUUUAUUGAGCACUUACUUUGUUUAAUCCUCCUAGAAAAGAUAGGUGUUAUUAUGAGUUCCAUUUUAUAAAAGAGAAAAUUGAGGUUUGGCAAGGUUGAGACAUUUGUCUGGAGUUAUAUAAUAAGUUAAUACAUCAUAUAACUAAUAAGUCCUGAAGGAGCCAGGACUUGAACCCAGAUCAGCUAGACUCCCAAGUCUGUGUUUGUUAAUCCCUCCACAGCCGCAAAGGGAGUCUUAGGGACUCGGGGAAAGAAGAGACUUCCAGGGAGCACAUCUUCCAUACCGGAACCACUGACCCAAUCUGUGGAAAAGGUUCAACUUCCACUGUAACAAAUUCAGCUUGACUAUGAAUGUCCAGACUCUUAGACUAACCAUAUGACCUACAGGAUUUUUAAGGAGACAUUGGAGAAUGUCAUGGUUUCAAAAGCCACAGUCUCAGUUUGCAGAAGUGGGAAAAGGUUGCUACGAGCAGUUCUCGAGUCUCUGGUCCUGACCAGUUCCCAAUAGUGAUGAAGACACACUCUAGUUCCCAACCUGCUCUGGUCCAAUUCCAUGCAUGUUCAUUCUCCAGCAUUUCAAGGUAGAAAAUGAAAAUAUAUGAGCAAGAGAAGGCCUUGUAAUAACUGCAGCAUGCCUGCUUUAAAAUAAGUCCUCUGAGUAUGACUUUAUCCAUAAAGAGUUUACACUAGUGUGAAUGCCACAUUUUGUUUCCCCUUAGACUGACCAAAAAUUUUUUUUAAAGAUCAAAGCGUACUGUGGGAGCAUGCGAUGUUUGACAUUGGACAAAGUACUCUUUUUCAAAACAGACAUUUUCCAAAAACAUAACUCGCUAGACUAAUGGGCAGUGAGAAGCCAAAAUGACUGCCCUCCGCCUUCUCCUUGUGUAUCUUUGCCAGAGUCCUUGGGACUUGCCAAAUCCGGUCAUGCCUGCUUAGCUUGCUCGACUGAUUGUGCCAGAAAAGAAAAUAAGACACAGAUGUAUUUGAGCUCUUUGAGAUGCCAGUAAGAGAGACAGCUAAUGGCUUCAUUUCGACCCUCCCCUUCCAGCUGGGCACAGGUGGGGGAUAAUGAGGUCCCUCUCCCUAAUCAAACUCAAUUAUUUACUACUCUAUAUAACUGCAAAGACAUUCACAUUCCGUUCAGAAUAUAAAACACACCGUGGGCUACUUCCAACCACUGCCACUGGGUAUUUAUAACAAACUCAAGUGGCUAACAGUUUGCCUUGGCAGGAGUUUAAGUGUGUAAAGUUUUGCAAACUGUUUCUGUUCAAAUAUGUCCUGCUGAAAUGGGGUCCCAGGCGGGGUUCCAUAACUGUCAGGUCAGUGAACUGCAUAACAUCUGAGAAUGUAUUCACCAUGCAGUGCAGACAGGAUCUGGAAAUCAAACGCUUCGUUCUAUCACAACCUUCUGAGAAGCAUCACAGUUUUUUUCAACAGCAAGACUGACAUUGUAUUAAUAAACAUUCCAAGUCACUAGCCUGACAUGUACAUAGCAGCAGCUGACAGACUCCGACAUAAGCUGAGGGGAGAACAGAGGAAAUCAAAAUGAGACAUAGUAACUAAACAUGGCCAAAGGGGGAAGCAUCACCAAACCAAUCACAUGGGCUCAGAAAUGGGAGCUCCCCGACUUUGAAGACACAUAUUAACUAAAGCAACAAUCUGGCAUAAUUUUUAGAUACAAAGUAAGUUGAUGGUUAUCUAAAAUGUGUGCUUUUAUGGUAGGAACAAAGCGAAUCCUGGCACAAUUUCAAGACAUUCCAGUGAGCAAAACAUACAUAUUUAGCUUGUCUGACCUUUAAAUUCUUAGAAGUGUGUAAUUAAUGCUUUCCAUCUUUAUCACUUGCUCCAAUAUUUCUGUCACUUUAAACAGACACAAAGAAAAAUCCUUUCUUUUCUCUAGACAGUAGCUGUUGCCAAAAAGGAAAUCAAGUCAGAUUUACAAAUACAAAAUUAAACAGGCUGCAUAUGUUACAUUUCCAUACACGAGGACAAUCUGGACAAUGAAAAUGUUUGCUAAUACAACAGAAUGAAAAGAAACAACACACAGUUGGUCCUCUAUGAAUCAAGCAAACAAUAAAUAACCAGGAUAAUUUAUACUCAUUUUGUCAGGCCUGGUUACAAAGAACACAAGCAUCUUCUUUUAUUCCUUAUUCUAUUUUAGCUCUGCCUCUUACCAAACAGCAUGGCCUUGAAUUAGUAACUAACUACCUGUCUCUGAGCCUCAGCUUACAUAUUAUAAAAGUGAAUUGCGUAUAAGAAACUUUACUGAUGGGGUGUGGCCAAUUUUAAAAUAUCAUAAAAAAGAAAUAAAUGAUAAAAAAAGAAAUAAAUGAGAUAGCAUCUAUUGGAGGUAUGAAACUGAAUGAGUGUGUGAAAAUAUUCUCCCUGCCCUCCUCUUUUUUUCAUUCUCUAGACCACAAGGCAAUAGCAUAUAACAGAAGGAAAGGCUUCAAGCUAAUGACACCCUUUAAUAAAGGUCUGGUCACUUGGGGUAUACUGUGGAUUUAUCAUCAAGAAGGUAAACUAAAACUCCCCACUCUUCUGAAAAGCCCAGUAAAGAGCAUGAAUGAACCUAGGGCACGCCUCUUUAAAAAAGCAGCUCAUCGUUCCCUUUCUGCAGAGCCAAGAGAAGCCAAGGUAGUCUCUGGGAGCCUGCCCAAGGCAGCCCAGCUUCUGGGCUAAGACCUUCCACUGUUACCUGACAGCUGUUACCCAAAGAGCUCUUGGUUAGAACUGUUCCUUCCUCAUGUUCCUCUAAUAUAUCAAAUAUUUAAAGGAAAAUACAUAUAUAUAUAGGAGACAGUUUAACUGCUCUGACUUCUAACCUAAGGAGAUUCUGACCAUUUUAUUGGCCUUGACUUUUUUUUUUUUCCUUUAAUGCCCUUCUUCCCCCACUCCAGAGUAGAAUCCUGGCAUGAAACUUUAAUGUCAACACAUAUAAGGUAAUAAUACUACCACAGUUGUUUUUGUCAUUGCCACUUUUGAACUCAAUUCAGUCUCACAAAUUCUGACUAAAUUAGGUCUGUGUUGGGAAUGGGAGAAGGAGACGAACAAGGCAGGUCCCUAUCCUUGAGAGGCACUUAGCCCACUCAAGAUCUCAUUCUCCCUUGUCCUACUUUGUCUAAAGGAACAGUAGGCUUUGGCUUGGUCACUGCUGGCAAGAAACACUUCUUGAGAUGCUGGGCACUAUCUGAGCUCCAGCUCUUUAUCUGGUUUUGGGGGUCAGCCAAAAACCUUCCCAUUCCUCCCACUCCCUACUUCUCCUCUCUGACACUACUGAUAUCCAAACAUCUUUACUGCUUAAGCUCAAAGUAGUCAGCAAGUUAGGGAUUCCCAUUUAUAGAUAUAUUUGCUCUGUCCAAAAUCAAUCAGGAACAAUGGAUAGCUUAGGAAUCCACUUGAAGAUUUGUUAAAAGAGGCAGUUUCCAUUACCAGGCUCCUAAUUUGCAAGUUGUUAGAAUAAUCCAUUCUCCUUCCCUGAACAACAACUCUAUCCAGGGGAUUCCUGGGGCCCAGGGGUUCUAGAGGGAAAGCUAGAUAGAUCUAGUCCUGAUUUAGUAAGAACAUCAGAAGACAUCCAAUUUCACGUUCCCUCCACAGAAUAAUUUUCCAAUGAGAAAUUCAUUAAUUAGUUCCCCUUUAAAAAAUGUAAAUAAUUAUAAAAUAUAAUUCACAACCUUUGCAUGAUGGAAUGAAGACAAAUUUAAAAAUUUCUUUUAUAUGCAGAAACAGAUCUAUUUCCCAAUUUUGCUAUAAUGGACACAUAUUAAUUAUAUAAUAAAAAAUAACUCAAAGGAAGGUUAAACCCCAUUCUCACCUUAGUGUAAAUUAUUCCCACUGAGAAUCCCUGACAGAAAUAACAAUAGCAACUAUGUAACACUUCCUACAUGCCAGAGUCUCAGCUAAUAUUAAUAAUCACAGCAGCAUUUCCUGAGGUUCAAGAGCCCCCAGGAAUCAACAGAUGAAUUUACAGACUAAGUUUCAGAAUUUAAAAACCUGUUUUCUAACGGUGAUGUGAGCCUCUAGUUCCAGCUACUCAGGAGGACUGUCUGAACCCAAGAGUUCCAGUCCAGCCUGGGCAGCAUAGUGAGACACUGUCUCUAAAAAUUUUUUUAAAUUAAAAACAAUUUUGAUUUUAGUCAAUGAAAAGCAUAUAGAGAUGUAUUAUCUAUACAUAUCAAUAUAUGUAUGAUAUGGAUGUGUAGCUAUAUAUAUCUAUAUGUGCUUUUCAUUGAACUAAAAGCAAAAUUAUAUGUGUCACCACAUAUUUUAUAUAUGUCACUGUGUGUGUGUGGGGGGGUGUAUGAGAUAAAGAUACAGAUAUAGGCCCCUCCUCACUCCUCAUCUUCCAUGUUCCCCAUUUUCCACCCACCUGGGGAGCCCUGAGCCACUGCCUAGAGGAGAAAUACCCAAGAGAGUCACCUGGCCUACAUCAGACAAAUGUGAACAAGAAAUAAAAUUAUUAGGCUGGGCGCGGUGGCUCAUGCCUGUAAUCCCAGGGGAGGA